UUGUGGUAGCUAAGUCUUCCGGCUUAGAGGCCUUCCUCGGCAACAAGGCAGCAAGCAUCAACCACAAUGGACAGAAGUGAGCUCCGGCGCGACCUCCGGCGUUUCUCUCUGUUUCUGGCAAGUUUUGGCGGUAGCAACGGGAAGUUACGGCGAAGCUUUUCGACGUGAACCUUCAACCUUCCUUCUCGUUCGGCCUUCCCGGCAUAGCUCAACCCUUCGGCGGUGGUUUUGGGUGCUCCUAGAGGAUGUGGACAGUGAAGUGGAGCGGCUCCGGCAAUCGACAGAAAAGUGGAAGCUUUUCACGAUCAUCUCUUUCCGGCAUCCUCUCCGGCAUGUCAACAGGCAUUUUGGAUGUGUAAUGGUGACGAGCAGCUCCUCCCUUCCGUAUCCUCGGCUCUGGUCAGUAGCAUCUCCGGCAGCGGGCAGAUAGACGGGUGGUGGUGAGCACGUCGCUCAACCCGCGGGUUUGUUGGCAUGAAGUCGAAGCAGAAGAUGGUGAUGAAGGUUCCCGGUAACUUGGUUUCAUGAGUUGAGCCAAUGUUGGUGUUGGUUUUGGUUGGAUAAGCGAAUGAGGUGAUGUCUAAGUGAGCGCGCGGUCUAGUACUUGCUAGAAUAGAUUUCCCCUCUCGUUUUGUGGCCUAUGAGCCAGUGUAGAUGUAGAACUUUGAACUUGUGGGAUUAGUUGUGAACAGUGCAGAUAUUGCCUGUGCGUUCAUCCUUAUGGUGAACAUGGCAUAACACCCUGUGUUUCAGACUU